CGGCGGCGGCGGCGGCGGCGACCCGGGGCCGCGGCGGAUCGCGGGAAUUUGGCGCCUACGUUUGGAGUCUGGCUGUUCUCGCCUGUGAUUGGGCCCCGUCUGCGGCUGCUCCGUCGACCUCGGCAGAAAGCGUUCGGCUCGGUGCUCGGCUGGCCUCCGGGGCAUGGGCCACCAGGAGCCCCCGCUGGCCCGAGCGCCCGCCGAAGGCGCGCCUUAUGUAAAGCGGUUAUGUAAAGGGCUCAGCUGGCGCGAGCGCGUGCGGAGCCGCGGGAGCCCGGACGCCGGGUUCUCCCCCGCGCGCGCCGCGGCAACCUCCGGGGCCGCACCAGGUUCCGGCGCACGCCCGGCGCGGGCCGUCGGCUCCCGCGCGGCUCGGUACCUAAGGCAGCCCCGGCUGGGAGCGCACCAUCCCCAGCCCGAGACUCCUGGGGGGAAACCCGCCGUCCGGAAGUGGAGGGGCUCCGGCCAGGUCACAACCCAAGCACCCGCUCCUCUGCGUCCCGGGGCCGGACGGAGGGAUGAGGCAGGGGGGGGCCGGGCAGCGCCGUUGCUGCUCCCCCCGCCGCCCGCAGCCAUGGAAACGGGGGAGGCGGACGGCGCCCGCCGAGGUACACAAAGCCCCGAGAGGAAAAGGCGAAGCCCAGUGCCGCGGGCGCCCAGCGCGAAGCUGAGGCCAGUGGCUGCGGCCCAGGCCAUGGAUCCGGUGGCGGCCGAAGCCCCCGGCGAGGCCUACCUGGCUCGGCGGCGGCCCGAGGGUGGCGGCGGGUCCGCGCAGCCGCGCUACAGCCUGGUGGCCGAGAUCGGGCGCGGCAGCUACGGCGUGGUUUACGAGGCCGUGGCCGGGCGCAGCGGGGCCCGGGUGGCGGUCAAGAAGAUCCGCUGCGACGCCCCGGAAAACGUGGAGCUGGCGCUGGCGGAGUUCUGGGCCCUGACCAGCCUCAAGCGGCGCCACCAGAACGUGGUGCAGUUUGAGGAGUGUGUCCUGCAGCGCAACGGCCUAGCCCAGCGCAUGAGCCAUGGCAACAAGAACUCGCAGCUUUACCUGCGCCUGGUGGAGACCUCGCUCAAAGGAGAAAGGAUCCUGGGUUAUGCUGAGGAGCCCUGUUAUCUCUGGUUUGUCAUGGAGUUCUGUGAAGGUGGAGACCUGAAUCAGUACGUCCUGUCCCGGAGGCCGGACCCAGCCACCAACAAAAGCUUCAUGCUACAGCUCACAAGCGCCAUUGCCUUCCUGCACAAAAACCACAUCGUGCACAGGGACCUAAAGCCAGACAACAUCCUUAUCACGGAGAGGUCUGGCACCCCCAUCCUCAAGGUGGCAGACUUUGGACUAAGCAAGGUCUGUGCUGGGCUAGCCCCCCGAGGCAAAGAGGGUAAUCAGAACAACAAAAAUGUGAAUGUGAAUAAAUACUGGCUGUCCUCAGCCUGCGGCUCAGACUUCUACAUGGCCCCUGAAGUCUGGGAGGGACACUACACAGCCAAGGCUGACAUCUUUGCCCUGGGCAUUAUCAUCUGGGCAAUGAUAGAAAGAAUCACUUUCAUUGACUCUGAGACCAAGAAGGAGCUCCUGGGGACCUAUAUCAAACAGGGGACCGAGAUCGUCCCUGUUGGUGAGGCGCUGCUAGAAAAUCCAAAGAUGGAGUUGCACAUCCCCCAGAAACGCAGGACUUCCAUGUCUGAGGGGAUCAAGCAGCUCUUGAAAGAUAUGUUAGCUGCUAACCCACAGGACCGGCCUGAUGCCUUUGAACUUGAAACCAGAAUGGACCAGGUCACAUGUGCUGCUUAAAAUUCAGGGCAAAGCAUCUUGGUUGUUUUUAAACUAGACCUGAAACCUCUGACCUUCUUGAGCCCCCGCCUGUUAAGUGGAAGUCCCAGCCCUGCCUUUCUCACUAGACUUCAUGAUGCUGUGCAUGAGUGGAGGGGUUGUGAGUGAAGAUCCAGAGGGUUUGAAAGCUGAACCUUCACUGUGAAGACCUGACAUUCCUAGGAACUAGUAUCCGAGACAUCUGGGGCCUGGUCUGUCUACUGGUGUUUUCUGAGUGUUCCCCCACAUGGGGAAGGCUGGUGUUUGCAAGGUUGAUCCCCGGGACCCACAGUCUCGUCAAGUCUCACAGAGGACGGCAGAGGGUACAGGUGCCCGGCCAGCGGCCAUCUCCCGACAGCUGGAGCUCCAGCAAUGUGAAGCUUUGUUUGCAUUUUCUCCCUUCAGUUUGUUUAAAAUUUUUUGUCUUUUUUUUUUUUUUUUUUUAAUUUAAACGAUUUAAGACUUCAAAAGAGCAGAAGCUCUGCUGUGGACAGGCACCAGUUUCUUUAAAGAAAUUUAAUAUGGACAAAGCAUUUGUGUAAAUUUCAUCUUUAAUUUUUAUAAGGGGUUAGGGCACUAUUUCAUUUUUGUUCUUGCUUUUCCCUGUCUUUCUUUUACCCAUUUCUCAGUUCUGCUUAUAACACCUCACUUCCCCCAGAGGAGGCCCCUCUCCGUGGCGAUGGGGGCAUUUCUCCUGGAACAGAAUGGAGACAGGAGGAGGCCCCUGGGCCACCUUCCCACCAGGCGCAGGAACUGCCGACCCCGAGCUGCUCCCGGCCAGCUCUUGGCCUUGGGUAAAGAUCUGCCUGGAGGAGGAAGACCAGCGUUUGCCCGGGAGAACUCACAAAAGCAGCUCCCACCCGGGGGUGUGUGCUCUUUAAGCUGUGGAAGCCCCGGCCACACCAGGACUGACGGUGGUGGGACUCCAUUCCCCCCACUGCCCUCGGUGACCGAGAUCUCUGAAGGGGCGGGGGACGGGACAGAAGUGAUCAUCUCCCACUUCCUGGCGGCUGUGCGAUCAGCCCACCCCAACUCUACACGCCUACGUUUCUGUUAGUGUUCUUCCUCCCAGCAGAAGAUCCCCAGGAAGAAACGGUCAUGCCAAACCUCUGCCCAGGUUGUCACGGAGACCGCCUGAGUCCCUGCAAUCCUGCCGUGAGCAUUGCCAUAGAACAGGGUGCCCUGGACUGGCUGUCGCUGCACUGAAGGGUGUGCCCUGUGUGCCGGGACCCCUGGUAUCACUUAUGGUAACAGUGUCGUGCCAUCUCCCUCACCCCAGGGGCACACUGUUACUUGUAAAUGUGUCUGACUGGAAAAGGAUGGAGCAGGCGAGAGGAGGCAGGUGACUGGGCAGACCCCUGCAGCCUUUAGGUGCCUGUUUGUGGGUUUGCCACCUAGAGAUUCCCCGGCUGUGGAGCCCUCCCACAGGGUCAGUGUAGCUGCUCUUCCGCUCUCCACAGCACUCACAGCCCCUCUCCACAGGCUUCUGAACCUGGCAUUGUCCCCCGCAUCCCCCUUUCCCUCCCCAGCUCCCGGCAGGACAGAGGAACCCUCCUGUGCUGGCCCCCUGUGUCACCUGGGCGCUGCUUUAGCUAAUCCAGAAGCUCUUCACCCUGUGACAGCCAAGCAGGAAAGGGCCUUUGGGGAGGGGGAAGGAAUUCCUCUUUUGUGUUUAUUUUUGGUUUUUGUCUUCUCUCAGCCAGCAUAGGAUCAGUAGGGGAGAUCACUGGAGGGCCUUUCAGUUCUGUGUGACCAAGGGGGCCUUCCCCACAGCAGCCCUGGUCCUGCAGCUCUGGGCGUUUGGGAGAGGCUAGCGCGGUGUCAGCCCAAGCUUGACAAUAUGUUUGCUCACAUUCUUUCUGCCUUUUCUCAAGCUCCUCGGAUACCAAGGCUCCUUCCUCCUGGGCAGACAGCUGGCUGUGGUUAGCAGGACCAGCAGGGCUGCAGGUGGUAACCAGGCCCUUCCAUUCCUUGGCUGAAAUCCUUUGUGAUCGCCUGUCUCAUCACUUCUCUGGUGCCCUGUGUGUGCUCUAGGCUGCACCUGGAAGGUUGGGAGCCCAGCAUCCCCUAUUGCAGUGCACACUCCUGCCCCACCCCCUGCCUUCCCUGCAGCCAGCUGUCUCUGCACAUGAGCGAAUGAGAAAAACAGUCCCCAAACUCAGCAGCCCCCUCUCCCUGCUGCAGCUGGGGUUCUGAAGUCCCCAGUGAGGGCUCAAGCCUAACAAGUUAUUUGCCUUUUGCUUGUCUUUUUCUUUUGCCCUCCCCAGCCUCUUAGCUUUGAGUAGGUCUUGGAGCUGCAGUGCACCCCCCUUUGUUAUUUUUCCUGGCGCCAGGGUAUCCCCUAUAGACAACGGGAUGUCCGUAACUUUUGGGUAAGGUGGGCAGCCUGGGUAGCCAGCUUCCAUGUACCCUUCCUUGUAGGGCUCCCAGCCCUCCUGGCUUGGUGGUGGGACCUCCUUCCCUAGCUCUUGAGGGCCAGCUCGUUAGCCCAAGUGCCUGUCUCCCCUCUCUCCUUCCCCUGCUCUCUCCACUUUGUCCACCUGAAGUUGGGCGUUGGCCCUAAGUCAGUCCAGUCUGUGGACUAGCCUGGGGUGAGGUGGGUGGCCCCUGUCCUCCUUCUCAGCCACUUGCCACCUGUUCCCACCGUGGUCGGCUUCCUCGCCUCUUCCUGCCUUUUCACCCUCUCCACCCGUCUCAGGCCUGGCAGCAGCUCUGUGGUGCAUCACCUCAGUGCCACCAAGUUUAAGUUUGUCCAAGUUCCAGAAGUUUCCAAACCUUAAAAUAGCAGUCCGUUACUCGCUUCUCCAGUCUGAAAGGAGAGCCUGUUGGAGGGAGAGUCUGGGCCUGGUGCCCCCUAAAUGAGUGGAGUCAGCAGACAGAUCAUGCAUAGUGCCUUAUUCCAUUGUCUUCCCUGGCCAGACCCGCUCCCCUGGAGUCUGUGUCUUCUUCCUGCUCGUUUGUGUCCAUCUGUCUCUUACACUCUCCCUCCCAUUCACCCACAGCCGCAUGGGCUUCCCCUCUGCCCUUCCCCCCGCCCCCUCCUUCCCCCAUCCCUUCCUGGAGCUGCAGCCAGGUACACACCUCCCGCCCACACCAGGGCGAUCUCUAGCAGCUUUAGCUGAGGAUGGAAAACGCUUUAGGCAGGUGCGCUCUGCCUCUUACUACCCAGCAGUGCCUGCCUCUUACCUCUAGCCAGGAGGAUGCCACGAUUGUUCAAACAAGACCGGCUCCAUCUGACCCCCUCUGGGCCCUGGGGACUAAGCCGCAGGCCUCAGCCUCAUCUCCUCCGGAGGCACUGGGAGGACGGGACCUCUCCUCCCGCCCGGAUGUGGUUGCCCCUCAUGGCUGCCUUUCUGAGGGCGUGUACAUGUUUACUUGAGAAAUACCCUGUUUACAGCCAGAGGAGAAUGGUGCCCAACACUAGGUGGAGAGUGACUCGGGACAGCCUGCCCUCUAUGGCACUGUGGGCGGUGGCCCCAGCGUGAACGAAGGCAGAGGUGCCAGGGGCUGGGGCGCUCCCUGCACUCCCUCUACUCCCCGACCCUGCGGUGCUACAACCACUGGCCACCUUCCUCAGCCUCCUGGCCCCAGACCUUCCCCACCUGCAUUCCUUCCUCCACCUCCAAGGUCCUCAGCUCCUUAACAUAUCAGUUGCCUCCUAGAGAACCAGUGUGUGGAGCAAUAAGAUUUUUUUUUUUUUUUUUUUUGCUUGAGUCUUUUUAUAAGAAAAGGAAAAGAGUUGACAUUGUGGGACUCUCCUCUUUAUGCUGUUGACUGUUUGCCUUCUUAGAAGACGGAUGGACAUCUGGGUUCUGACUUUGGGGUAUCUUGGAAGCUUGGAAAAGCAAGUCAGGCUUUUGCCCCUAAGAAGGGGAUCCUGACUGCCCUCACCAUGCUCCAUGCCACCUGGGCUUCCAGCCCCUCCCUCCCAGUGCGCCUCCCACCCUUGAUCCUGCUGGUGCCCCCACACACAUCUGGGGCACUGGUGGCCUGACUCUAAGGGGGCUCUUGGGUUAUUGCCUCCCAUGGCCCUUUCCCCUUCUAGGUCUGUCUGGUGGCCCCCAGAUAGGCAGCUGCUGAGUCUCCUAGGAGGGCAAUAGCCAAACUUGAACUAUUCAGUUCUGCCCGCCGGGCUUGGGGCUGAGGCCCAGAGACACUGCCUCGGCCGUCGUCCCACACUGGGCUGAGCCACAGCCUUCGGGAUAACACAGGCCCAUCUCUGAUCCUGUCCACCUGAGCAUGGAGAGGUGCCUCGGGAGGGGAAGCAGGAGGUGUGGUGUGAGGGUGGACUGUCCCUGGCUGCCUGGAGCGCCCCUAGGAUUGCAGGGGUCACCGGAGGGAGGCCACAGGAGGAAGGGAGUUUAUUUAGGGACAUUUUAAAGGCCGCGUUCAUGCCCCAGGGCCUCUCCAUCAGAGCAGGGGAGUAUGUUGUGAUGAUUUAACAGUUGUGUGGGGCCAUUUCAGUGAGGGAAGAUUUAACCCAGGCUCAAAGUUUGUUUCAAAUACUAGUUAAUAAGCCUAUUUUCCUUAUUUUCUUUUUUUGCACAGAAGCUGGUAAUCUAGGACCUACGUGUGAACAACUUUAUAUGAGUAUUUUUUGUACUUGGUUUACUUGGGUUGGUAUGAUACAUGAUAUUUAAGUUCCUUGAACACUGUGGAGCCCCAAUGUGUAUGAAUGACUGAGGCUUUGUAAAUUAAGGGACGUUUGUGUGAAUAAAGUUAUUUGAUGGGGUCAAAGAAGCCAUAUGUGA